rnacentral:rRNA from 1 species
UAGCUAGUUGGUGAGGUAACGGCCCACCAAGGCGACGAUCGGUAGCCGGACUGAGAGGUUGAACGGCCACGUUGGGACUGAGACACGGCCCAGACUCCUACGGGAGGCAGCAGUGGGGAAUAUUGCACAAUGGGGGAAACCCUGAUGCAGCGACGCCGCGUGGAGGAAUAAGGUCUUCGGAUUGUAAACUCCUGUUGUUGAGGAAGAUAAUGACGGUACUCAACAAGGAAGUGACGGCUAACUACGUGCCAGCAGCCGCGGUAAAACGUAGGUCACAAGCGUUGUCCGGAAUUACUGGGUGUAAAGGGAGCGCAGGCGGGAAGACAAGUUGGAAGUGAAAUCCAUGGGCUCAACCCAUGAACUGCUUUCAAAACUGUUUUUCUUGAGUAGUGCAGAGGUAGGCGGAAUUCCCGGUGUAGCGGUGGAAUGCGUAGAUAUCGGGAGGAACACCAGUGGCGAAGGCGGCCUACUGGGCACCAACUGACGCUGAGGCUCGAAAGUGUGGGUAGCAAACAGGAUUAGAUACCCUGGUAGUCCACACCGUAAACGAUGAUUACUAGGUGUUGGAGGAUUGACCCCUUCAGUGCCGCAGUUAACACAAUAAGUAAUCCACCUGGGGAGUACGACCGCAAGGUUGAAACUCAAAGGAAUUGACGGGGGCCCGCACAAGCAGUGGAGUAUGUGGUUUAAUUCGACGCAACGCGAAGAACCUUACCAAGUCUUGACAUCCUGCGACGGUUCUGGAAACAGAGCUUUCCUUCGGGACGCAGAGACAGGUGGUGCAUGGUUGUCGUCAGCUCGUGUCGUGAGAUGUUGGGUUAAGUCCCGCAACGAGCGCAACCCUUAUGGUCAGUUACUACGCAAGAGGACUCUGGCCAGACUGCCGUUGACAAAACGGAGGAAGGUGGGGAUGACGUCAAAUCAUCAUGCCCUUUAUGACUUGGGCUACACACGUACUACAAUGGCGUUAAACAAAGAGAAGCAAGACCGCGAGGUGGAGCAAAACUCAGAAACAACGUCCCAGUUCGGACUGCAGGCUGCAACUCGCCUGCACGAAGUCGGAAUUGCUAGUAAUCGUGGAUCAGCAUGCCACGGUGAAUACGUUCCCGGGCCUUGUACACACCGCCCGUCACACCAUGAGAGCCGGGGGGACCCGAAGUCGGUAGUCUAACCGCAAGGAGGACGCCGCCGAAGGUAAAACUGGUGAUUGGGGUGAAGUCGUAACAAGGUAGCCGUAGGAGAACCUGCGGCUG